GCCUUACUAAUCUCAUACUUUCGUUUUCAUAUUUUUCAUAGUUUCAUAUUUCUCUCUUUCAGGCACAUCCAGAUUACCCUGAUUCUGCAAAUGGAAGAAGACAUUGAGAUGAUAUGAUCCGCAUCCACUGAAGCCUGUAACCACUACAGACAUUGUGUGAUCCAUUAAAAUAAAACAGUCAUGCAUAUCUA